GUUCAGCAUUUCCUAAGCUCUCCACAGCAGCAGACUCCCUGAAGAAGAAUCUGUGGUGCCCCUGCUUCUGGAUUAACACUUUAAAGGCUGAUGAUCCGAGCUUCACGGGCUGUUCGUAUUCCUCAACGCUCACCUAACGUGACCUCUAAUGAAAACUUCACAUGGGACUGGAAAUCCGGAGAGUGUUGGCAUUUAGGCUAAAGAGUAUGUGGGACCACUAAGGGUUAACCGGUUCACCGGUACACCAGAGAGAUUUGGCAUUAAGUCCAGAGUCCAUGGGUUAAACCAGGCAGAAACACCUGUUAGGAAUCUCUCUUUGACAAGAAGUGAGAUUAGUUCACAUUAGUGUACUGGUUGAUUAGUGUCUCAUGCCUCCAAUCGUCAUCACGGACCAAGGAUUGUAAAUCAAGUGACUGACCCAUAACAAUAACACUGGGAUGGCACAGAAGCUAAGAGGAGAGAGCUGGCCACUGGUGUGCUCUCUCAGAAACCCCAAAAGAGAGAGUGUGCAGGUAAAAAAGCAGUUUACUGUUGAACCUGAGCCCCUUCAGCAUCGACUGGAAACUCCAGAGAGCUUCUGUUGCCAAGGCCCAUCUCAGGCAAUAAACCCACGGGUCACUAAGUGUGUGGCUCCAAGUGAUUCAUCUGAAAUGGGGGCUGGCUACACUGUCCUGCUGGCAACGCAAUAUUGCUGGGCUUGCAGGGUUUUUAUAACCAGAAGAGGCAUCCCGAUACAAAUGAUUUGUAUGGCUCACUUUCAGAUGAUGGGCCGCGCAUGCAGUGUGAACAGCUCAGGAGUGUUGAACACAAUGCUCUCUGUAUCUACCAAGCUCAAUGUGCCUCUGAUUCAGAGAGGUUGCAUUAAAUGCAGAAGACACAUUUCAGUUGAAUGCAUUCAGUUGUACAACUGACUAAAUUUCCCUUUCAUGUUGAAUAUAGUUACAAUCAGAGGAGGCUGGUAGGAGGAGCUAUUUGAGGACGGGCUCAUUGUAAUGGCUGAAAUGGAAAGGUAUCAAACAUAAGGAAACCACAUACGACUCCAUUCCUUUAAUUCUAUUCCAGCCAUCACAAUGAGCCCAUCCUCCUAUAGCUCCUCCCACCAGCCUCAUCUGGGUAAAAUACUGUCAUGUCUCUGUGCUAGUUGGGCAGUUAAACCACAUGUGAGAUAGGACUCUCCUGAUAUAGAGGUACCAUUUUUGUUGCUGUGUGUUAAAGAAAAAAGCCUGGGAUAAGAUAUCGAGUUUGCAACCCGCACUAAACAUAGAUUAAGUUGCUAUUGAAUUGAUUUGGCACUGGCAGGAAGGUGGUAUUUUGUUUUGCGAGAAUGAUCGCUGAUUGCUAUUGACCCAUUGUAGCUGUUUCAGACAGAGAGAGUCAUGGAACUGAUGAGCCCGGAGCUGGGUCUUUUCUAGUCUGAGUUUAAAGUGUGUACUUAAUGGGGAUGGAUGUUAUUUGGACAUUAGGCCUCUCGCUACUGAGCUACUUGAUGAUAAUUAUGCAUAAAAGGCUAGUUAUAGUUUCUGAGGAGGAAAACAAAAUUGUGAAGUUGUGGCUUAGACGUUAAAGGGAAAAUCAGUCAUUCUGAUGAGAAAUUAUAGGGGAGACCUGGGGGUGUGGGGUCACAUGUUACUGAGACAAACCGAGAGGGCAUGCGUCUCAUGGUGACUAUGAGCGAUGAAUAGUAAAUGGGGAUUGUAACAGUGAACGGGGAGGGGCCCAUGUUAUAUAACUUGUGUCCAAUCACAGUGUGAGCAGAGAAAUCCCAUGAGAACAGUGCCCAACUACAGAGAGGGCUGAUGUACUGUGUACACAACUGACCCCUUUACAGGAAAUGUGUUUCUUGCCUUUUCAUGAACUUUGUAAUAAAAAUCUACUGGAA